rnacentral:lncRNA from 1 species
CCUUGUAAAGUUACAAUGAAUUCACAAGGAAAGUAUUACAAUGAAUUUACAAAGAAAGCAUUACAACGAAUUUACAAGGACACAUGUUUACGACGAAUCUACCAGACCCGCGUUCUUAGAGUUACAACGAAUUUGCAAGGAAACAUUACAACGAAUUUACAAGGAAAUCUUUACAACGAAUUUACAAGGAAAUGAUUACAACGAAUUUACAAGGACACGUGUAUUACAAGGAAUAUACCAGGCCCGUGUUUUCCAUUACGACGGAUUUACUACGACUAUAUCUGAAUCCCUGAAAAUCAAUCCCUAAACCCCAAAGUCUCUUACCUAUAACAUCAUAUCCCUUUUACCCCAUUCCCCCAUUCUCCCAUUUA